rnacentral:rRNA from 1 species
AAAUCAGGUAGGAGUACCCGCUGAACUUAAGCAUAUCAAUAAGCGGAGGAAAAGAAACCAACCGGGAUUGCCUUAGUAACGGCGAGUGAAGCGGCAAAAGCUCAAAUUUGAAAUCUGGUACCUUCGGUGCCCGAGUUGUAAUUUGGAGAGGGCAACUUUGGGGCCGUUCCUUGUCUAUGUUCCUUGGAACAGGACGUCAUAGAGGGUGAGAAUCCCGUGUGGCGAGGAGUGCGGUUCUUUGUAAAGUGCCUUCGAAGAGUCGAGUUGUUUGGGAAUGCAGCUCUAAGUGGGUGGUAAAUUCCAUCUAAAGCUAAAUAUUGGCGAGAGACCGAUAGCGAACAAGUACAGUGAUGGAAAGAUG